rnacentral:rRNA from 1 species
UUUCCUACGGGAGGCAGCAGUGGGGAAUAUUGGGCAAUGGGCGCAAGCCUGACCCAGCAACGCCGCGUGAAGGAAGAAGGCUUUCGGGUUGUAAACUUCUUUUCUUGGGGACGAAGAAAGUGACGGUACCCAAGGAAUAAGCCACGGCUAACUACGUGCCAGCAGCCGCGGUAAUACGUAGGUGGCAAGCGUUAUCCGGAUUUAUUGGGUGUAAAGGGCGUGUAGGCGGGAUUGCAAGUCAGAUGUGAAAACCACGGGCUCAACCUGUGGCCUGCAUUUGAAACUGUAG